AUUCAUGUUUACAGGUAGGCUGAUUUUUUAACAAUAACAAUGGCCAAUGGUUUUAAGACAUGUGGCUCAAUAAUAAAAAUAAUAGAAAACCUCAAAUUCAUAACAACACAGUUGUUUCUUGAAAUGAAUCACUAAUAAAUUUCAAAUUGCCCACUAUAUCAAUUCUCUAUCAUACCUAAUUCUUUCCAAGCUUGAAAAGAUAAAAUCCAAAAAAAAUAAGUUUCAUUUAUUUAUUUCAAAACAAAGAUGCAAUUAUUAUCCCUUUGACUCAAACAAGAAGCUGUAAUAUACC
rnacentral:lncRNA from 1 species